UACGUAGGGAGCAAGCGUUGUCCGGAAUCAUUGGGCGUAAAGCGCGCGUAGGUGGCUUCGUAAGUCCGUUGUGAAAGUCAAAGGCUCAACCUUUGAAAGCCGAUGGAUACUGUGGAGCUAGAGUACGGAAGAGGCGAGUGGAAUUCCUGGUGUAGCGGUGGAAUGCGUAGAGAUCCGGAGGAACACCGACGGCGAAGGCAGCGCCCUGGCCGCCAUCUGACGCUCAGGCACGAAAGCUGGGGGAGCGAACAGG
rnacentral:rRNA from 1 species